ensembl:snRNA U2 U2 spliceosomal RNA
AUUGCUUCUCGGCCUUUUGGCUAAGAUCAAGUGUAGAUCUAAUUUAUGCAUUUUGUCAGGAAUACCACAGAUUUAUUCAUGAGGGUACAGAAUCUGUGUGUGCUUCUUUUCUUCUUUAGUCUAAUAGUAAAUAGUUGAAAUAUU